GCUGUGAUCGUAUAAUGGUUAGUAAAUUGCGAUGAGGCCGCAAUAACCCAGGUUCGAAUCCUGGUCACGGCA
rnacentral:tRNA from 1 species